rnacentral:tRNA from 1 species
GGUUUGUAGCUCAGUGGUGGAGUGCUUGCCUCUCACGUGUGAGGCACUGGGUUCAAUCCUCAGCACCA